GAGGUUGUAGCUCAGUGGUAGAGUGCUUGCCUUGCAUGCGUGAGGCCCUGGGUUCGAUCCUCAGCACCACA
rnacentral:tRNA from 1 species